CCUACGGGUGGCAGCAGUGGGGAAUUUUGGACAGUGGGGGCAACCCUGAUCCAGCCAUGCCGCGUGUCUGAAGAAGGCCUUCGGGUUGUAAAGGACUUUUGUCCGGGAAGAAAAGCGCGAUGUUAAUACCAUUGCGUGCUGACGGUACCGGAAGAAUAAGCACCGGCUAACUACGUGCCAGCAGCCGCGGUAAUACGUAGGGUGCGAGCGUUAAUCGGAAUUACUGGGCGUAAAGCGGGCGCAGACGGUUACUUAAGCAGGAUGUGAAAUCCCCGGGCUCAACCUGGGAAUUGCGUUCUGAACUGGGUGGCUAGAGUGUGUCAGAGGGGGGUAGAAUUCCACGUGUAGCAGUGAAAUGCGUAGAGAUGUGGAGGAAUACCGAUGGCGAAGGCAGCCCCCUGGGAUGGCACUGACGUUCAUGCCCGAAAGCGUGGGUAGCAAACAGGAUUAGAUACCCGGGUAGUC
rnacentral:rRNA from 1 species